rnacentral:rRNA from 1 species
UACGUAGGGGGCAAGCGUUGUCCGGAUUCAUUGGGCGUAAAGAGCGUGUAGGCGGCCUGGUAGGUCGGUUGUGAAAACUGGAGGCUCAACCUUCAGAGGUCGACCGAAACCAUCUGGCUAGAGUCCGGGAGAGGAGAGUGGAAUUCCCAGUGUAGCGGUGAAAUGCGUAGAUAUUGGGAGGAACACCGGUGGCGAAGGCGGCCCCCUGGACCGGUACUGACGCUGAGGCGCGAAAGCGUGGGUAGCAAACGGG